rnacentral:tRNA from 1 species
GAAAAUUUAGUUAAAAUAUAACAUUAGUUUGUCAACCUAAAAUUAUUAAAAUUAAUAAUUUUCU